GAUGAACGCUAGCGGCAGGCUUAAUACAUGCAAGUCGAGGGGCAGCACGGUUAGCAAUAACUGGUGGCGACCGGCGCACGGGUGCGUAACACGUAUACAAUCUACCUUAAACAGGGGAUAGCCUUUCGAAAGAGAGAUUAAUACCCCGUAAUAAAUUGAACGGCAUCGUUUGAUUUUGAAAGCUCCGGCGGUUUGAGAUGAGUAUGCGUCUGAUUAGCUAGUUGGUGAGGUAACGGCUCACCAAGGCGACGAUCAGUAGGGGAUCUGAGAGGACUAACCCCCCACACUGGUACUGAGACACGGACCAGACUCCUACGGGAGGCAGCAGUAAGGAAUAUUGGUCAAUGGAGGCAACUCUGAACCAGCCAUGCCGCGUGCAGGAUGACGGCCCUAUGGGUUGUAAACUGCUUUUAUACAAGAGAAAACCCUGGUACGUGUACCAGGUUGAUAGUAUUGUAAGAAUAAGCAUCGGCUAACUUCGUGCCAGCAGCCGCGGUAA
rnacentral:rRNA from 1 species